rnacentral:lncRNA from 1 species
AUGUAUAUAAAAAUGUCAACCUUGAUAAAGUAAUUCUGACACAGGAGGAGAUAAAAAAAUCUAGUUCGCAUAAGUUACUAAAUUGUUUGAACUGUCAACAAGAGAUAAUUGGGGCUCCAGUAUAGGGGUUGUCUCCCUUCAAGUGGCAGGUGCUUGUGUAAAGAUUAUAAAGGAGAAAAGUGAAAGUGCAUAAAGGAAAGUAAAGUCGUGAAGGAGGGACUAAAAUUAUGUAAUGUUGUAAGGUAAAACUGACAUCAGAUCGUGUGACGUCCUCUCUCACCUGGUGUACCCUCGACACAAUUUAAAACUUGACUCGAAUUUCAGACCGAAAGUUUAAUUCAGUGGAUACCUGUGCAUUGUAUAAGUGUAAUCUGGAGUAUCAGAUUUACAGCUUUAUAAGGACUUAAAUGAUGUAAAGGUCAAAUUACGGUGUUAUAUUGCUAGUCCGACAGGUAUUAACUUUGAUACAAAUUAAGGAUCUAAUUGACAUCGCCUCAGGGGAUUCACCCAAGGGAAUGUACAUACCUAGGGGGUGUAAUUUCAUGGAUAAAGUGUGUGGCUAAAUACAUUAAGUGUGUAAUUACUCAUCAAGGACAAUUUUUAGUUUGUCACAACUUUUUUUGGACUGUAAUUUAUUGGAACAUAUGUUUUGUCUUUGUGCAUGAGGUAAUGUAGUCAUUUGUCAUCGUCAAAAUUCCUAAUGAAAUAUUGUAUGUUGGCUUAAUUUGGAGAAAGUUUGAAAACGUUUUGGAAAUUGAAUAACAAACUAUAGUUUUGGGAAUUUAACAUCACUCUAAUGGAUAAUUUUGUAAGUUGAUUACUAAUUUGAACUAUAUGUAAAAUGAGUUCCAGACCAAAAACUCUUUCUUCAACUUCUCGUCUCACAGCAACGCGGACAUCAAAAUCUCCAACCUCACCAUACCCAGGGGAGGCCUCAAAGCGUUCACAGUUUGGAUCUGUGACGUCCAAGACUUCAGUAAAAGAUGGGACUAAAACAAGGAAACUCUCAGAUGAUAAAUCUAGUUCUAGCUCACUUAGAUCUUCAACUAGUUCUAUUGAGACCACAGACCUUCAUAUUUCUGAGGAAAAACCUAAUGUUCCUCCAAAACGGACUAGUUUUAGUGGAGCAGAUCAGAAACCUAAAGUUACCACCCCUGAGGACAAAUCAUCAUCUUUCUUAAUUAAAAAAAGGAAUAGUUUAAGAAAGACUGAAGCGACUGGUGAAAGGUCUUAUAUUCCCAGAAAAUCCAAUAGCUUUAAAGCGGAAGAUAUCACAAGUACUGCUGAAAAAUUCCGAGGUGCUUCUUCAGCUCGUAAAACAAGUAUUGAAAGCUCAAUUAAAACUGAAUCAAAUAUCCCCAGUAGAAAGAAAGUCAAUGGAGUUAACAGUGAAACGAUAUUAUCAAAUCAAUCCAGUGUGACUCACACAUCUUCUAAUGAUAUUAAUGGUAAAAGUCAGGCACAUUCAAAUAUUAUUGUUUCUAAUAAAGUUGAGUCAGACACUGAGAAGCUUUCGUCUGAAACAAACGUUUCCUCUAUUGUUACAUCUGGCCAUGUAGAAAUUCAGACUCAGCAACGAAAACGAAUGGACGACUUACCGACGGAAUCAUGUCUGUCAGACAAACCAAAAGUUUUUUUGCAGGUGGGUAGAAUUUGGUUUUGUAUUUUUGCAUCAAUAUUUUUUAAGAUUCUUUUUAAAGGCAAUACAUAAUGCACACCUGCUCUUAGUAAAUCAAUAAACUGCAGCUAAGGGAAAUUUGAUAUUUUUAGUACAUUGAUUGUAUUAUAAUUUACUCUUUGUUCUGCUUUUGGCUUGCUUCUUAGGCUUCUUUUUGCAUGUUAAGAUAUAGGAGACAUUCAUUCUAAACCUACAUGAAUAUUUAUUUUUUUCCUGACUGUUGUGCAUGAAUUUUUAAUCGGAAAUGAAACAACUUUGUUUAUGUUUGAUCAUUGAUUUUCUCUCUUAGAAGAUUAAACAUGGAAGCACUCUUAAUCUUACACAUAUCCUAAUCUGUUUUACAGAUUAAAGUGUAAAAUGGAUAAGCUGAUUUAAUUGAGGGGCUUAUAAGGAUAAGAAAAUUGUGUAAGAUGUAUUACUUAACCCUUAGUAAUUGAGAGAGUGAAUUAUCCCCCCCCCCUUUUUUUUGCUAUGUAACAAUAGCAUAUACAGCUUCAUUAAUUAUAUAUUCUGCCUUUGAUACCUCUGUGUAAUGUACUUUUUGAAUUUAUUUAACUCUCUUAAUUACAUAAAGUGACAAUUGUUUUUUUCUUUUAAAGGUUUGCCUUAUUAGAGAGGGACUAUUGUAGUCCUUAAAUGGGUUGCAAACAAAGAGAAAUUAUGCAUGUUUAUAAUACUGUUCAUGGUUAUGUAUUAAUCAUAUAAAGAAACAUGAAAGAAUGCCACAAAUUGAAAUACAAAUGUUGUAGGAUUUGACUAUAAUAAAGUGAUUUAGUAUAAAUUUGCAUUUUUCACCUUUAAAUAUGCAAAAAAUAUCAGAAAUUUGAUAUGCAUAGUUUAAACAAUUGACAUUUAUAGGAGCUCUGAGUGGAGUGGUUUGUUGACAAACCGAAAUAGUUAUAUUUGACAGAAACACAAUUACAUGGUUGUACUAUUUCAUCUCAAUCUGGAUGUGUAUAAAAUAUAUACUAUGGGUGGGGUUGGUAUAAUGAAUAAUAUUUUUGGCCUCGGUCAGAGCAGUGGACAAGACUGUUUGUCAGAAAAUUAUUUUUUACCGUCGAUUAUUAUAUUAAAAAAGUAAUCACUACUAUCACAGAGAACAUUUGAAGGUUUUAAGAUAAUUAACUUUGUAGAAAAUAUGUGUAGAUAAACAAAAAGUAAGCCUAAAUAUGGUAGUGAAGUUGCAGUAAAAAAUGGUCAGAUGGACUAUAGUAUAUAAUCACUCACUUAGGGCAGUGAUGAAGUAUCAUGGCAUGAUUCAUAAGAUAUAUUUUGUCUGCAAUUUUCUUACGUUGCAAGAGAUCAAAUACUAAAUAAGAACCUAAAACUCUUUUAACAAGUGUCAACCAUUAUGAGUCAAAUUGACAGUCGGACCUUGGUGUAAAGCAUAUCCAACCAUGGUUAGACCAUGGUUAUCAAUUAAUGGUGAGCAUCAUGGUAAUCAUUGUCAACCAUGCUUGCAUCAAUCAUAUUGACAACAAUAUACUGGUACUUUAUUAGGGCCUCGCCUUUAGGCGGGUACCCUAUAGUGAUCAGUCUGUCCGUCCGUCCAUCCGUCCGUCCGUCCGUCCGUAACACUUUUGUGUCCACUCCAUAUCUAGAGAACCAUUAUGAUUUCAUACUUUAUACUUUACAUGUUUAUUAACCACCACCAGAGGGCGUGUCAUGAUGUAUGUGCAACUUCCUAGGUCAAAGGUCAAGGUAAAAAAAACUUUGGUUUCAGUUGACAACCCUGUGUCCUGUGGUGAAGAUCGUGUCCGCUCUAUAUCUUGAGAACCGUUAUGAUUUCAAAGUUUAUACUUGACAUGUAUAUGAACCAACACCAGAGGGUGUGUCAUAAUUUAUGAACGACUGCCUAGGGCAAAGUUCAAGGUCAAAAACUUUGGUUUCAGUUGACAACCCCAUGUCCUAUGGUAAAGAUUGUGUCCGCUCUAUAUCUUGAGAACCGUUAUCAUUUUGAAGUUUAUACCUGAAAUGUAUAUAAACCAAUAUCAGAGGGUAUGUCAUAAUUUAUGUACAACUUCCUAGGUCAAAGGUCAAGGUCAAAAACUUUGGUUUCAGUUGACAACCCCAUGUCCUAUGGUAAAGAUCAUGUCUGCACUAUAUCUUGAGAACUGUUAUCAUUUCAAAGUUUAUACUUGACAUGUAUAUAAACCAACACCAAAGGGUGUGUCAUAAUUUAUGUGCAACUUCCUAGGUCAAAGGUCAAGGUCAAAAACUUUGGUUUCAGUUGAAAUACCCAUGUCCUAUGGUAAAGAUACAAUUUUUUAAUGCACAUUAUUCACAGCGGGGCCCACAGAGAUGGCUCCCAUCUCAAUGAUAUCUAGUUUCAUUUACAAAUUGUCUGUACCAAGUCCUGAACAGAAGAUGAUAAACGGCCUCCAAUUGUACCAAUGAUAAUCGGAUCAGUGUAUGCUAUAUUGCUUGAAAUCACCCAGUAUAUAAGGGACUUUGUUCUUGCCAAGUUUUGUAGAAUUUAUGUAGAAGUUUAGUAUAUAUUUGUUAUUCCUUUUUGUGGAGGUUAACACAAUUUGGAUGAUUUAAGAUGUAGGAAGAAAGAAAAACACACAAAAAGUUUAAUCCUCUUAAGUAAAUUAAUAACUGUGACAUAUAUCCUAUUUCAGUUAUUUGUUACCUCUAAGUUCUCCUUUGUUACUCAUUUAAAUUUUCUUUACAAAAUCCAUGCAGAUUUUUGCUUGGGUCAGAUUUCAUUUCAACAAUUACAAUGAUGUUAUUUGAAAAGAUUUGAAAAGAUAAUGUGUGGUAAUGGAGGGCGAAAAAGUAACUGAUAUAAAAAGAUGACUAGAAAUCUUAGGUUACAACCAUUCAGAAAUGAAACAAUAUGCAUAAUUUUUCACAAUAUUGUCUAGUUUUCACAUAGUUUGAAGUGUUAUAAUCAGAAUUUAAAUUUAAUUGGAGAAGAUCUAUACAAUAAAACUGUUACCAAUACUGUACAUUAUAGCUAAUAAUACAAAAAAAAUGAUACAUGUAAUACAAAUUUAUUAUCUUUCUUAUGCAUAACCUCCUGGCUCCAACCAAGCCCAUGGUUUAUUGUGGUCUACCAUGUUUGCUUUGAGUCACAUUUAUUUCUGGACAAAUCCAGACCCUAUAUUUGAAAAGAAAGAGGUGUACCCAUAGAAUUUAUUAAAGACAACAAUCCUUAAGAAUACUGGAAAAUACAAUUAAAGAAUUAACCUCAGUUUAUCGCUGUUCUUCAUUUUGAGAGUUACUUGAAAGUUCUCAACAAAGAUCCUAUUUAUAGUCAGACGAGAAAGAAAGUGUUCUGUUUUGUAGUAACAUAAUAUAUACCAACCCUUCUGCCCAAUUUAUUACUUACAACACCUUAUAUGAAAUAUUUAAUGCCCACCUGCUCAGAUGCAUGUGUGGUCUUUGUUUGUUUGUUUUUUUAUUGACAAACAUGAUCCCAUACCUGUUAUAUAAGUUGAUUAUCCUUGUAAGUGACUCAAUAAAUUUUAUAGUAUAGUUAUUAUGUUUAAUUUUGGCAUGUAAAGUGAAUGAAGGGUAGACUUUAGUUAAAUAUCAAGGGGGCGAAAAUUGAAUUUAUAACAAUCAUAAAUUUAAAUAUAACAGAACAAAUCUUAGUGUUUAAAGAGAUUUGUAACAUUUAGAGAUUGGGGUAUAUAAUGGGAUUGUUUGUAGUAAUAUAUGGAUAUAUGACUAUUCAGGAUUCAAGGAAAAUGAUUGAUCCUUUUUAAACUGCAAAAUUGGGAUAGGGUAAAGUUUUCCUCUGAAAGUGGAAUCAAAACCGAGAGUUAAAUCAGUGAAAUAUUUUUGAAGUCUGACCAAAGUCAAAAUACACAGGCACUCGAAUUUUUUCUCCCCUGUAUAUAAAGGUAUUAACCCCGCCACAUUUUUACGCCUGUCCCAAGUCAGGAGCCUCUGGCCUUUGUUAGUCUUGUAUUAUUUUAAUUUUAGUUUCUUGUGUACAAUUUGGAAAUUAGAAUGGCGUUCAUUAUCACUGAACUAGUAUAUAUUUGUUUAGGGGCCAGCUGAAGGACGCCUCCGGGUGCGGGAAUUUCUCGCUACAUUGAAGACCUGUUGGUGACCUUCUGCUGCUGUUUUUUUCUAUGGUCGGGUUGUUGUCUCUUUGGCACAUUCCCCAUUUCCAUUCUCAAUUUUAAUAUAGGAAUUUUUUUUCCUGUUUAUUUGAAAUCUAACUUCUCUUAUAAUCCAUUCUUUUCAAAUGCAAUUUUUCAUUGUUAGAGCUCCACCUUACGGUUCAUGAGAAACCUACUCCUCCCCCUUAAACUUAAGCAGUUUCAUUUCAAGUAUAAACAAUGCCCAUCUGUCAACAUAUCUGUUUCAUCACUGUAAAGUCUUUGUGUACAUAAUCUACGAAUCCUUAUCUCUCUCUGAGCAGGUGACUAACAAAAUUUCUCAUGGAAUAUGUGUACAAAUCUUGGCACGUCUGCACCAAAAGUCUUUGAUGUAGAUUAUGAUAUAUUAUCAUCUAUACAUACACUUAACUUCUUCCUGAUAUACUUGUGAAGUCUGGGCGUCAUCUUAUUGGUUUUGAAAAAAAUAUAUGUUUUUGCCAUUUUUUGAUAAAAAAGGCGGCCGUCUGCUGAGGUUUUUCGGUAAAUGUCAAUCAUUAUUGAUAGUUUAUGGAAUAUUAAUUAUUGUUCAUUAAUUUUGUGGGGGAGGAGUGUAGAGCGUUACAGACAUGGAUGAACUGGUAAGAUUGUUCUCAGUUAGUAUUACUUCCUUGUUUACAAGUACUCUUUAAAUCUUUUAAUUACCAAUUAAAAUGUAAACGUAAAAUAUAUGUUAGAAACAAAACAUACUUACAACUAUUUUUUGUGUGUGUAAAGAAGCAGCCUUGAAUGAGGUUGAUAUGCCCACAUUUAUAUAUGUAUAAAUUAUAUAAAUAAAUGUAAGAUUUCUUUAUUUUGAUGGAAAAACGUAAUUUAGAUGACUAUAUAAAUUCAGCAGGUUUUGAGUGAAGAUAGUGAAGUCAUUUUGAUGCCAAUGUAUUAUCAUCAGAAGAGCAAAAAAAUUGCUUUCUAUUUGGUAUGGCACGCUCCCAUCAAGGGGCCUGGGAAUCAACAUGCAAACCAAGGCCUUCCUGUUAUUCAUGCUAGGUAGAGAUAUGGAAACAUAUCAGACAUGUAAUAAGGAAAUUAAUUGACCAAAUCACAAAUCUGCAGUCUGCACUUACAUUACCCUAUUAAAAUAAUAAAUAACCUGUAUGUAUGUAUAUAUGUAACUGGCACACUUCACAUGUUUAAACUAGUCAUAAUCAUUAAGAACACAGCAGGAGGCUUUAAUUUGUUAACAAAUAAUUCACUGUGAGGGCAUAGAGAAUAGAAUUUUGAAACUGGCAAUUAUACAACAAUGGAUAAAACUGUUUUGUUUUGCAUUAUUUUCCUUUAUGAGGAGGCAGAUAGUUUAGUGGUCAAAGACAGCUAGGAAAAUUAAAGUUAUACUGGUCCAAAUUACCAUUCCUGAGUUCAAGUGUAUCAUGUAUAUAAUCAGUAAUAUAAGUGGAAUUUAAAUGAAGAUAUAUAUAAACAUUGAAAUUGAUGUAUAAAUAUAAUAAAAUUUUAAAUACAGAGAAUUGCACUGGCAGAUCCAGAACUUUUUGUUUGAGGGGGCUCACGGACUGACCUAAGGAGGAACCUGCUCCAGUCAUGCUUCAGUGAUUCCCUAUAUAUUAUAAUUAACCAAAUUUUUCUCACAAAAAGGGGUGGGGCAAGGGUCUCCCCCUUGGAUUUGCCUAUGAAUGGUUUUAUAUCUUAAAAUUUGAAGGUUAAGAAGAGAGCAAUUGAAAAUCUGAUAUAUUUACAAUCAAUUUCAACUGUUUUAAGACUAAAAGAUUGGUAAGCUAUAUAGCUAGAAAAAGCAAAUAGUACAGAAGUUUUGCCAGUGAUUGUAUGCAUUGAUGAGCAUGCAUUUGUGUAUGACAUCUGGUGUAAUACAGAUUGUUAGGAAUGUUUAUUCAUCAUACUACAGAUGUUAGUACAAUGAUGGGAUGUCUCUGAUGCUGUGAAUGAUUGUACUGCAAUUGAUGCUGAUUAAUUGAUGACUUUUGAAUACCACUUCAUUUUGAAAUGACUUUUGGAUAUUUGUGAUGUUGCAGGUUACGAUCUCUUUAGCAUAUACCCCACAUCUUCUUUCUAUUCAUAUUUUUCAUUGGCAUGAACCAAAGAUAAGCCAGACUGUUUUGCAAUACCAGAAAUUAUUGAUGAAAUUGAAUUUUGUCCUUCAAAAACAAGAUGUUGUGUUUCAGAUAGUCCUAGGAUUGGGUAGGUGUCCUUUCUGCAAGUCUGGUAGAAUUAAAAAAAAUUAGUAGAAUUAAAGGUAUAGCAGACUUAAGUGAGAAGACCACUUCAUUAAGAUUGAGAAUGGAAAUUGGAAAUGUGUCUUUUAAAGAGAAAAUUUACAACCCUUAAAUGAUGAGUAGAAAAACAGCCCAAUUGCCCUGUAUCUAUAAUCAUAAUAUCUCUAUUUAUAGUUGCCGAAGAAGCUACAUAACUUUCAACAAGUAUUUGAUAUUACAAAAACUUUUGAGCUACCACUUAUUACAUGAAUAUUCUGCAGCUGUUUAAAGCUUUGAUUUCCUGUCAGUUGAGUCUUCAUUUUUUCAGAAAAAAUUGAGAUAACAAGUCUGGUAUUAAAUUUUGGAAUACUUUCAAAACUAAAACUAUUUGAUAAGAAAUAUUUAUUACAUAAAAUGAAAGCAUGAAAGAUUAUUUUGAUAUUUAAUGAAAGCUCUGCAAUGUUACAUGAUUCAGCUUCCAAGAUUGCAUAUCACAGUUACAGGCAGCUUUGGAAUAAUUACUUAGCUGAGAUUUAUAAUAAAAAAAGAAUUGUGCAUAUGAAUGAUUAACUGGAACUAACUUUGUUUCAUAUUGAUAUAACAUGUUGUUUGGGGAAAAAAGGGGGAGGGGAUGGGAUACUAAACACACUAAUUAGAACUUGGUGCUUCUUUUAUGUAACAGCUGAGACUAGUUUACUUGUACAAUGACCGGGUCAUUGUAUAUGAAAGAACAGGCUGAAGGACAAAUAUUCAAUGGUCUAUAGAUAUAAGAAGAUGUGGUAAAAAUAUGACAUGUAUGAGUGUCAAUGAAACAACUCUUCAUCCAAGUCUCAAUUUAUAAAACUAAACCAUUAUAAGUCAAAAGUACGGACUUAAACACGGAGCCCUGGCUCACACUGAAAACAGCAAGCUAUAAAGGGUCCCAAAAAUUACUAGUGUAAAAUCAUUCAAACAGGAAAACCAAUGGUCUCAUCUAUAUAUAAAAGAACGGGAAACUAGACUUUCAAUUUUCAACUAAAAAAAUGUGCAUGUCUAAAUGCCAUAUAUCAACAUCCUUAAAGCCAAAGGAAAUUAAGUAAAAGAAUACUUUCUAUCAGUCAGUUGACCACAUAGUUUCCCAAGUAAAGGUUAUUGUUUUCACCUGUCUAGCACCUGUUUAUUGUUUAUUUGUCCUAACUUGUAACAAGAUAAUGUCACUUGUCAUAAAUGUUGUUUUUAUGGUAUUACUGUAAUUUACUGUUCUAAUAAGAAUAAGAGUAAGAAGAAUAUUUUAUUAUUCCAAUCAAGGGUUUAAUAUAAACUGACCACUGGACGAUUUUAUUGGGUCUUAAAUUGUAAGGAAGCAAAGCAUUUUGUUUGACUUUGUUGACGUUUGAGACGUAACUCAUACUAUACAAAGAUUACUAAAUUGAAAAUUUUAUGAGAUAAAAGAAAGAGUAACCUUUACAGUCUUUGUUCAUACUCUACAAUUCCAAAAAGUAACAUGACAAAUUGACAACACAAUUAAAUGAAAAAGAAAGUGGUCUAAACACCAUCUUCAUAGUAGGCUAAUGAUGUUAACGUUCUCAGGAUUGGAGCCGAAAACAUAAACGGGUUCAAAUGAAUACUUUUUGUCCACAUAGACAUGGAAAUACCAGGUGUCUGUCUGUCCGUCUAUCUGUGCGUCCAUCCAUUUGUCUGGUCUUGUUUGGCUGUGUUCUGGUAUGAUUAUCGGUACUAUAACUGGACAUUUAGAUGCAAUGACUAAUUGUAUGCCAGGGUUAAAAGCUUUCAUUACAGAGUUCAAAUAACUUAAUCCUUUUAAGUACAAUGCUACUGUUACCAAACACUUUAAAAUUAUUUUCAUAUUUGUUUUAUUACAGUUUACUUGCCCAGAGCAGCCUGGUUAUGUGGGAUUUGCCAAUCUUCCCAACCAAGUUCAUCGUAAAUCUGUAAAGAAAGGCUUUGAGUUCACUCUUAUGGUAGUUGGUAAGUAUGGAAACUUAGUGAAUGAAAAUUUUAUAGAUAGAUAUAAGAAGAUGUGGUAUGAGUGCCAAUGAAACUGAAUGAGUGAACUCUCCAUCCAAGUCACAAUGCAAUAAGUAAAAAACAUGUUUUGGACAUUCAUAAAGUCACAAUAUGUGAAUGUUUCUGCUAUCUUUUAAUUCUUUAUUUGAGAUAAGAAACCGAAGAUUUAAUGAUAAAAAAGGAAAAUUUUAGGGAUUAGAGCACAGCAAUAUGAAUGAGUAUACUCCAAUGAGACUUCAACCCAAAGACAUAUAUUUACCAAAAGACUUAAAAAGAAUUCAAAAUCCAGUCUUCAGCAAUACUAGUGGUUUUAUAAAUUGAAAUGGACAUCUGUUUAUUAUGUAUGCAUUUCUGUCAAAAUUUUCCUCUUCUAGAAGAGAUUCUUUCUUAUUUCUGGCAACAGGCUGUACUGUUCUUUUAUUAUCCCUGAUGUGUAUGAACUUUGCUUGCUUAACAAUAUUCGGUCAAAUCAUUAGUUAUAUAAACUAGAUCUUAUGUAUAUAAAUCAUGGAGGAGUAAAAAACUAAUUUGUUUAUAUAGUAAAGUGUAAUUUAUUUGUAUUAGAGGUGUUUUACAAGCGAACAGGUGACAUGAAAUCUUUGAGCAUGGAAGGUUUGAAACAGAAUAUAUAAUUAUUUAACAUGUUGACUAAUGAUUAUAUUAUACAAACAAGAUUUAUUUCCUCUUUGUUUGUUUGGGAUAAACAUGCCCAUGUCACUAACCAAGUUUGUUUGCUACGGUCAAAGUUAAAUUACAUACAUUUAGGUUAGUAGCUUUGUUUUUGAAGUGGUACAUUGGUCCAUUGGUACAUUUGUAAACAGUAGUUUUGUCCUGCAGAUAAGUCUGUUUACAUUUAAUGUUGUUACAAUGUAAGACAUGGACUCAUAUUAAAAUGAGGACGUGUUAUGAUUAUCACUGAGACGACUAUCCACCAGAGUACAAAUGAAGUGGUAGCAAGCAAUUAUAUGCCACUGUAUGGCCUUCAAUGAGAAUACACAAGUUCUGUAUGAAAGGCACCCACAUGUCAAAAGUGAGGCAAUUCAAAUGAGAAAACUAGUGGCAUAAUUUAUAUACAAAAUCAAAUAUAUUACAGAUAUUGGAAUCUGUACAUCUAUAUAUAUAAAAGGAAGAUGUGGUAUGAUUCCCGAAGAGACAACUCCCCAAAAGAGACCAAAUGACAUAGAAGUUAACAACUACAGGUCAUUGUGCAACCUUCAAAAAUGAGCAAAGCUUAUACCUCAUAGUCUGCUAUAUAUUAGUGAGUGUGUGUCAGUGACUUUUCUUACCUGUCAGAUACCCACUUACUGUUCCCUCACCCCAUUACCUCUGAUUUGUAAGCUGGAUUAGCAGGUCAAGUGCUGUUUGCAACAUCUUUUCUAUUGAAAUUUAUUAACUUUAGUUUGACCGUUUAUUUAUUUGAAAUUUCUAAAAUGAAAUAUGUUUUAAUCUUUUUCAGGUGAAUCAGGCCUUGGAAAAUCAACACUAGUCAAUAGUUUAUUUCUUACAGAUUUAUAUCCUGAAAGACAGAUACAUUCUGCAGCAGGUAUAGAAUUACUAUACAUGUCAGUGCAAAAUAUUGUACAGAUGCACAUUUUCAAAAUUUAUAGAAUGUCUUGUCUUACAUUUUGUAAGUUGUGAGGAGUAUGAUAUAAAACAUUUUUUAAGUUUAAAGUUGUAUUAAAUAGUAAAAAUAUAAAGGAAAACACAUCAUGAGUUAUAGCAAAAAGAAUCUAAGUUCUCAUUUGAUUAAAAAAUCUGAAAUUUCAGUUGAAAAACAACCAAAAAACAAUUGAUUCGAAGAUUUAUGGGAGAACAGCUCUAGAUACACUAUUUUACUGGCUUCAGGCUGCACCUGACAACAAAUUUAUACAUCAAGCAAUAAAGCUUUGUUAAACUCAAAAACACACUUUUUGCUAUGAUUAAAAUCAUAGUAAAACAUAUUUUUGGAUGCAUUCCAGUAGUAAUUAGGGAAAUAAAUAACAAUUUUGUCAAAAUAAGAAUAAAGGUUACCAUGACAAUAUAAUAACAACAAAGAAUUUGAUGUAUGGCCCAGACAGAGAAUUGAAAUUAUUUUCCAUAAUAAUAUUUAGAAUAGCUUGGCCUGAUGUUUAUAUUUCUGUCCACUUUAUAAUGGUCAGCUGGUUAAUACAUCAAACAGAUUGAUUAGAUUGUUACUUUUUAUAAACAAAUAGUAUAUUAUUAGUAAUAAAAAUAAUCCAUAUGUUUGUACUAAGUUGACUGAUGAAUAAGAAUGAAGACAAUGUAUUCUUAUUAUAAAAUGGCACAUAGUUUGAAUUAAGAAUGAAAAAAGGUACAAAAUACAUGUACCAUAUAUUUUCUAUUUAAAAUUAACUUAGAAAUGCCUCCAAAGUUGAAAUCACAUUAAAAAGUCAAUAUAAUUAAAUACCCUGUAUAUUACAAGAUCAGUUAUCAUGAAGGCAAUCGAUAGUUAUAGUUAUAUUUCUUGCUUCAGAUAGAAAAAGAAAGAAUGAUGUAUUAUUAUGUACAAUUUAUCUAGUUAUGAUUUAUUUUAAAAAUUGUACAAUUUCAUUUAAAUCUGAUUAAAAACUGUGUCAAAAUGUUAGCUGUUAAAAUAAAAAAAUGCCCAGCUUGAAUUUAUGAAAAUCUAAUGUACAUUCACCUGAAGCAUUUUGGUUCAUCUAUCUUAGGCAAUAUUAAUUUCAAUUCAUAUCAGCUCUAGAUAAAAAUAUACACAUUGAACAUAUAUAAGUUAUAAGAAAAUGGUUUAUAACAUAUAAAAAAGAAGAUGGGGUAUGAUUGCCAAUGAGAUGCCAAUGAGACAACUCUCCACAAAUGACUAAAUGACACUCAAAUUAACUAUAGGUCAUCAUAUGGCCGUCAACAAUGAGCAAAGCCUAUACUGCAUAGUCAGCUAUAACAGGCCCUGAAAUGACAAAUGUAAAACAAUUCAAAUGAGAAAACUAAUGGCCUAAUUUAUGUAAAAAAAAUGAAUGAAAAAACAAAUAUAUAACACAUCGACAAACGACAACCACUGAAUUACAGGCUCCUGACUUUGGACAAGUACGGUACAUACAUUGAGAAAAUGGUGGGGUUAAACAUGUUAGGGGGAUCCUAACCUGGGAUAGUAGUGUAACAGUACAACAUAAGAACGACCUAUAAAAUCAGUUGAAAAAGGCGCAACUCAUCAGAUGGAUACAAAUAGAAAUACAUCGAACUAAAACACAGAGCGGACAUGGCCAGGUAUGGUUCUACACAUCUUUGACAUGACUGUAAACGACUUAUUUACAGGACAGUCACCGUUGUGUUUAUCUAUGUAUUUAGAAAACUAUUAGAAAAGCAUUAAAAAUACAUGUACAUAAAAAGUAACAAUUUGACAUUUGUUUAUUUAUAGAAAAAAUCAAGCAGACAGUAAAGAUAGAUGCAUCUACAGUAGAAAUAGAGGAACGAGGUGUGAAACUGAGGCUGACAGUUGUAGAUACACCAGGCUUUGGAGACUCAUUAAAUUCUGUAGACUGGUAGGAAACAUAUCUUAUUUGCUAUAAAUAUUGAAGUAAAAAGUUUUUAUCCAGAGUCAAGUUUGAAUAGAGAGCAUACUGAAUUUUGUCUUAUUUUUGAAUGAAUUGUAAAUGAGAUGUUCAUAAAUAAUGAUAACCGUAUCUCAUCCAAGUAGAUUUUUUUGGGGGCUAUUCUGGAACUAAUUGUAUGGGGUUUAGUAGGCAAUCCAUAUUAAUAGUAUAAAGGUGAAGGAGUUUGAAACAACUUUUCCCACAUACAUACUAAAUUCCUUAACAUUUCUUACUAAAUAUCUACCAUAUAGGUCAUAAAAAGGUCAAGUUAUGAAAAAAGCCGAUAGCUGAAAUGUAUUGGUGAGGGUUUAAAAAAAUCCACAGGCAAUUACAAAAUCAACCUUCCGAAUGCAGCUUCUACACAUUUGAUUUAAGAAAUUGAGUGCAUGUCUACAGAAAUGGUUCAUGUACAAAGUAUUCUACAAUUCCUACUUUGUUAUGUAUUCAUCAUGAAAUGUAAAUUCUACAGCUUUGGGGAAAAAAGGAAAUAAAAUUUUAAAAUUCGGCAACAAUUAUAUGCAACUUUUAUAUUUCAGUUUUAAACCAAUCAUCCAGUAUGUUGAUGAUCAGUUUGAGAGGUAUCUACAGGAUGAGAGUGGACUUAACAGACGACACAUCAUUGAUAAUAGGGUCCAUUGUUGUUUCUACUUUAUAAACCCCUCAGGUCAUGGGUGAGUAAUUUAGAUGUAUCAUUGGAUAAGCCAGGGUUAAAUUUAGGCAUCAGUUGUUUACCAAUGUUCAAAUAUCACAAAUCUAUUAAGGAGACAAGAUAAUGGGCAAAAACUGAGGGGGUAGCAUGGAAAAAAAAAGUCUGGGUGCAUUGACAGGAUAAACUAGAUGCUUCAAAUGUAAUUUAUCAUCUGCAUUAAAACAAAGAAAAAAAAACCAGCAUCAAUAUCCUUGAAAGGAAAAUGUGAUAGAAAACAGAUAUGGGGUAUCGAUCCAUGCCACAAAAUCAGUUCAUGCACAGAAAAAAAUAAAAAAAUAAACAUACAAAAGCAAAGGAUCAGCAAUUUUAUUGCUUUUCUUAAUCUCAAAGUUACAGUGAGGCUUUCAACAUAGAGCAAAAAACUCCUACCUCACUGCAAGUUUAAGACUGGCCCUAGAACCGGCUUAAGCAGAAUUCUUUGCACAAAUAAUUUGGAUGAUUAUAUAUAUUCUGUGUUAUUUGUGCAUGGACAUCUGAAUGGGGAAAUUUAAUAUCUUACCCAACUGUUCCUGAAAUUACAACAUUACUCAAGAAUAUAAAUAACUCUAAUUUUAUAAUGCAGUUUUGCAAUUUACCUUUCUGUCAAUAAUUUAUACAUACAUCAUGGUAUGAUGAUAAAUGAAAAAUCAGGAAAUCAGAUUGGUAAAUCAAAGGAAUAAAAAAUAAGAUAAAUUGAUACAUUUAUAGAGUGAUAGGUAAUGCUAUUAUGAUGAAUUGAUUAGAUAAAGUAUACGAAAGGUAGAUAAACAAGACAAGAUAAGAUGGUUCCCUACAUGUAAAAUCUAAAAUCUAUAUUAGAACAAGCUUUGUUACAAAGCAAGCAGAGUUAUUUCCCAUUUAUUAAAAAAAUUAAAGAAAAACCUUUAGGAGAAAAUGAGUUGCUUCCCUUUCUUUUACAAUGAUUUUUUUCCUGUAUAAAAUGAUACUUUUAUUAAUAAUACAUUUUUUUAGUUCUGUUCAUUUAUUAUGCUAAUAUAUUGGAAGAUGUAAACCAAUGAGACAUUCCAAAUAAAAUUUUUAAAUUAUUCAAACUAUUUCAGUGAAUAAUUUGUUUAUGCUGACUGCUUUAUUUCAUUCAUUUCAUUGACGGAAAACUAUGUUAAAAGAUUUGACAAUUUUUCUAAAUUUUCAGGUUACGCCCCCUUGACAUCACAUUCAUGAGAGCAGUCCACCAUAAAGUCAACAUUGUACCAGUAAUAGCUAAAGCUGAUACCCUCACAAACAGGAAGUUCCAAAGA